AUUGAACGCUGGCGGCAGGCCUAACACAUGCAAGUCGAACGAGUGGCGGACGGGUGAGUAAUGUCUGGGAAACUGCCUGAUUGAGGGGGAUAACUACUUGUAACGGUAGCUAAUACCGCAUACCAUCGGAUGUGCCCAGAUGGGAUUAGUGAGUAGGUGGGGUAAAGGCUCACCGAGGCGACGCCCCCUAGCUGGUCUGAGAGGAUGACCAGCCACACUGGAACGGAGACACGGUCCAGCGUCCUACGGGAGGCAGCAGUGGGGAAGAUUGCACAAUGGGCGCAAGCCUGAUGCAGCCAUGCCGCGUGUAUGAAGAAGGCCUUCGGGUUGUAAACUACUUUCAGCGGGGAGGCGUUACCCGCAGAAGAAGCACCGGCUAACUCCGUGCGAGCAGCCGCGGUAAUUC
rnacentral:rRNA from 1 species